rnacentral:rRNA from 1 species
AUUGAACGCUGGCGGCAGGCCUAACACAUGCACGUCUAACGAUUGGCGGACGGGUGAGUAAUGUCUGGGAAACUGCCUGAUGGAGGGGGAUAACUUCUGGUAACGGUAGCUAAUACCGCAUACCAUCGAAUGUACCCAGAUGGGAUUCGCUAGUAGGUGGGGUAACGGCUCACCUAGGCGACGAUCCCUAGCUGGUCUGAGAGGAUGACCAGCCACACUGGAACUGAGACACGGUCCAGAAUCCUACGGGAGGCAGCAGUGGGGAAUAUUGCACAAGGGGCGCAAGCCUGAUGCAGCCAUGCCGCGUGUAUGAAGAAGGCCUUCGGGUUGUAAAGUACUUUCAGCGGGGAGGCGUUACCCGCAGAAGAAGCACCGGCUAACUCCGUGCCAGCAGCCGCGGUAAUUC